rnacentral:rRNA from 1 species
CCUACGGGGGGCAGCAGUGGGGAAUAUUGCGCAAUGGGGGCAACCCUGACGCAGCAACGCCGCGUGAAGGAAGAAGGCCUUCGGGUUGUAAACUUCUUUGAUCGGGGACGAAACUGACGGUACCCGAGGAACAAGCCACGGCUAACUACGUGCCAGCAGCCGCGGUAAUACGUAGGUGGCAAGCGUUGUCCGGAAUUACUGGGCGUAAAGGGCGUGUAGGCGGGGCGGCAAGUCAGGUGUGAAAUCCCGGGGCUUAACUCCGGAGCUGCAUCUGAAACUGCUGUUCUUGAGUGCUGGAGAGGAAAGUGGAAUUCCCAGUGUAGCGGUGAAAUGCGUAGAGAUUGGGAGGAACACCAGUGGCGAAGGCGGCUUUCUGGACAGUAACUGACGCUGAGGCGCGAAAGCGUGGGGAGCAAACAGGAUUAGAUACCCUAGUAGUC